UACGUAGGGGGCAAGCGUUGUCCGGAUUUAUUGGGCGUAAAGAGCUCGUAGGUGGUUUGGUAAGUCGGAUGUGAAAUCUCCAGGCUCAACCUGGAGGGGUCAUUCGAUACUGCCAUGACUAGAGGUCGGUAGGGGAGUGUGGAAUUCCUGGUGGAGCGGUGAAAUGCGCAGAUAUCAGGAGGAACACCCGUAGCGAAGGCGGCACUCUGUGCCGAUUCUGACACUGAGGAGCGAAAGCGUGGGGAGCGAACAGG
rnacentral:rRNA from 1 species